rnacentral:rRNA from 1 species
UACGGGGGGAGCAAGCGUUGUUCGGAUUUACUGGGCGUAAAGGGCGCGUAGGCGGCCACCGCAAGUCGACUGUGAAAUCUCCGGGCUUAACCCGGAAAGGUCAGCCGAUACUGCGGGGCUAGAGUGCAGAAGGGGCAACUGGAAUUCUCGAUGUAGCGGUGAAAUGCGUAGAUAUCGAGAGGAACACCGGUGGCGAAGGCGGCCUGCUGGGCAGUGGCUGACGCUGAGGCGCGACAGCGUGGGGAGCAAACAGG